GAUGAACGCUGGCGGCGUGCCUAAUACAUGCAAGUCGAGCGAACAGACGAGGAGCUUGCUCCUCUGACGUUAGCGGCGGACGGGUGAGUAACACGUGGAUAACCUACCUAUAAGACUGGGAUAACUUCGGGAAACCGGAGCUAAUACCGGAUAAUAUAUUGAACCGCAUGGUUCAAUAGUGAAAGACGGUUUUGCUGUCACUUAUAGAUGGAUCCGCGCCGCAUUAGCUAGUUGGUAAGGUAACGGCUUACCAAGGCGACGAUGCGUAGCCGACCUGAGAGGGGGAUCGGCCACCAUGGAACUGAGACAACGUCCCGACUCCUACGGGAGGCAGGAGUAGGGAAUCUUCCGCAAAGGGCGAAAGCCUGACGGAGCAACGGCGCGUGAGUGAUGAAGGUCUUCGGAUCGUAAAACUCUGUUAUUAGGGAAGAACAAAUGUGUAAGUAACUAUGCACGUCUUGACGGUACCUAAUCAGAAAGCCACGGCUAACUACGUG
rnacentral:rRNA from 1 species